AUUGAACGCUGGCGGCAGGCCUAACACAUGCAAGUCGAACGAGUGGCGGACGGGUGAGUAAUGUCUGGGAAACUGCCUGUUGGAGGGGGAUCACUACUGGAAACGGUCGCUAAUACCGCAUACCAUCAGAUGUGCCCAGCUGGGAUUGGCUAGUGGGUGGGGUAACGGCUCACAAAGGCGACGAUCCCUAGCUGGUCUGAGAGGAUGACCGGCCAAACGGGAACGGAGACACGGCCCAGACUCCUACGGGAGGCAGCAGUGGGGAAUAUUGCACAAUGGGCGAAAGCCGGAUGCAGCCAUGCCGCGUGUAUGAAGAAGGCCUUGGGGUUGUAAAGUACUUUCAGCGGGGAGGCGUUACCCGCAGAAGAAGCACCGGCUAACUCCGUGCCAGCAGCCGCGGUAAUAC
rnacentral:rRNA from 1 species